rnacentral:misc_RNA from 1 species
AUGUUCCAUGGCUUGUAGGUUUUUUCGAGCCAUAUUCAGUAUUAUUAUCUACGACCUCACAAUAUACUUCAACAGAUAUUGAUGGGUUUUAAUCUCAGUGAUUUGAAGUUCAAUAUCAAAUGGAAACAACUGAUCUGAAGUCUAAACCUCAUAGCUAUUGCUCAGAGUCAGAGCUCCAGUUUGAGUCCCUCUACCAGUAGUCCCAGGAUUGCUGAGAAGGGGAAGAAAUGGGCCAUUGUCAAUGUUACCAUCCAACAAAAAUGGUCAAUGAACGACUUGAGAAUUUGUGACAGGACAUCCAAAUAAUCUGGGCUCAAAGAGCGUGAGGCUUUCAAAUUUCCUCCUUUCGGAUUGCUAAGUGCUGCAUCGUUAUCAGUUGAUGAUACAGUGAUUUGAAUUUGGUGAAUUGUUAGGUCACAUCAAGUGACAGGAUUUAUACAUAGAUCACAAAUUUUCUUGGAGUGGAGGGUCCUCCUGAAUAUUCCAG